rnacentral:rRNA from 1 species
AAAAGAAACCACCAGGGAUUGCCUCAGUAACGGCGAGUGAAGCGGCAACAGCUCAAAUUUUAAAGCUGGGCCUUCGGCGCACGCGUUGUAAUUUGGAGAGGCAUCUUCGGUUCGGGCGCCAGCCUAUGUUCCUUGGAACAGGACGUCACAGAGGGUGAGAAUCCCGUGCCUGGCUGGCUGUCCCGACCCAUGUGAAGCGCCUUCGACGAGUCGAGUUGUUUGGGAAUGCAGCUCAAAAUGGGUGGUAAAUUUCAUCUAAAGCUAAAUAUUGGCGGGAGACCGAUAGCGCACAAGUAGAGUGAUCGAAAGAUGAAAAGCACUUUGAAAAUAGAGUUAAAAAGUACGUGAAAUUGUUGAAAGGGAAGCGCUUGAGACCAGACUCGGCUGGGGAUGAUCAGCGGCCCUUCUGGGCCGUGCACUUGUCCCCGGUCGGGCCAGCAUCGGUUGAGGCGGUGGGAUAAAGGCCCGGGGAAUGUGGCUCCUCUCGGGGAGUGUUAUAGCCCCGGACGCAAUGCCGCCAGCCUUGACCGAGGGCCGCGCACUUUGUGCUAGGAUGCUGGCGUAAUGGUCUUCAGCGACCCGUCUUGAAACACGGACCAAGGAGUCUAACAUCUAUGCGAGUGUUUGGGUGUCAAACCCUUGCGCGGAAUGAAAGUGAACGGAGGUGGGAACCCCUCGCGGGGCGCACCAUCGACCGGUCCUGAUGUCUUCGGAUGGAUCUGAGUAGGAGCAUAGCUGUUGGGACCCGAAAGAUGGUGAACUAUGCCUGAAUAGGGUGAAGCCAGAGGAAACUCUGGUGGAGGCUCGCAGCGGUUCUGACGUGCAAAUCGAUCGUCAAANUUGGGUAU